AAAAAAACUCCCAAGCUGGUGAACUGAAGGUUGCAGUUGCUUUACACACUGUUAAUGAAGACUGUGUGCUGUUUUCUUUGUACCAGUUGCCAGAAUAAAGAGGGAGCCCAGAGUAAGGGCAAGU